rnacentral:rRNA from 1 species
GUGGGGAAUAUUGCGCAAUGGGCGAAAGCCUGACGCAGCGACGCCGCGUGGGGGAUGAAGCUUUUCGGAGUGUAAACCCCUUUCGACCCGGACGAAAGCCCGCAAGGGCCUGACGGUACGGGUAUAAGAAGCCCCGGCUAACUACGUGCCAGCAGCCGCGGUAAAACGUAGGGGGCCAGCGUUGCUCGGAAUUACUGGGCGUAAAGGGUCUGUAGGCGGUGCGGCAAGUCGGAAGUGAAAUCUGAGGGCUCAACCCUUAGACUGCUCCCGAAACUGCCGUGCUAGAGUGCGAGAGAGGCGGGUGGAAUUGCAGGUGUAGCGGUGAAAUGCGUAGAUAUCUGCAGGAACAUCCGAGGCGAAAGCGGCCCGCUGGAUCGCAACUGACGCUGAGAGACGAAAGCUAGGGGAGCAAACAGGAUUAGAAACCCCAGUAGUCC